rnacentral:rRNA from 1 species
UAGGGAUGCGUGACAUUAGAUAGUAGGCGGGGUAACGGCCCACCUAGUCUACGAUGUCUAGGGGUUCUGAGAGGAAGGUCCCCCACACUGGAACUGASACACGGUCCASACUCCUACGGGAGGCAGCAGUGAGGAAUAUUGGUCAAUGGUCGGAAGACUGAACCAGCCAAGUAGCGUGAAGGAUGAAGGUUCUAUGGAUUGUAAACUUCUUUUAUACGGGAAUAAAACAUCCCACGUGUGGGAUCUUGUAUGUACCGUAUGAAUAAGCAUCGGCUAACUCCGUGCCAGCAGCCGCGGUAAUACGGAGGAUGCGAGCGUUAUCCGGAUUUAUUGGGUUUAAAGGGAGCGUAGACGGGAUGUUAAGUCAGCUGUGAAAGUUUGGGGCUCAACCUUAAAAUUGCAGUUGAUACUGGCGUCCUUGAGUGCGGUUGAGGUAUGUGGAAUUCGUGGUGUAGCGGUGAAAUGCUUAGAUAUCACGAAGAACUCCGAUUGCGAAGGCAGCAUACUAAGCCGCUACUGACGUUGAGGCUCGAAAGUGUGGGUAUCAAACAGGAUUAGAUACCCUGGUAGUCCACACGGUAAACGAUGAAUACUCGCUGUUGGCGAUAUAAUGUCAGCGGCCAAGCGAAAGCAUUAAGUAUUCCACCUGGGGAGUACGCCGGCAACGGUGAAACUCAAAGGAAUUGACGGGGGCCCGCACAAGCGGAGGAACAUGUGGUUUAAUUCGAUGAUACGCGAGGAACCUUACCCGGGCUUAAAUUGCACUGGACAGGCUCAGAGAUGGGCUUUUCUUCGGACCAGUGUGAAGGUGCUGCAUGGUUGUCGUCAGCUCGUGCCGUGAGGUGUCGGCUUAAGUGCCAUAACGAGCGCAACCCUUGCCUUUAGUUACUAACAGGUCAUGCUGAGGACUCUAGAGGGACUGCCAUCGUAAGAUGUGAGGAAGGUGGGGAUGACGUCAAAUCAGCACGGCCCUUACGUCCGGGGCUACACACGUGUUACAAUGGGAGGUACAGAAGGCUGCUACCCGGCGACGGGAUGCCAUACCCCAAAACCUCUUUCAGCU